AUUAUAACAGCUCAAGUUUCAAACAAAAUUAAAUGAAAGCUUUUAAUAAGUUCUCUACAGUAAGUAUUUAUGUAUUUUAUUAUAUAAUUCAUUGGCGGUCUCUUUACCAUGCAUGAAAACACAUUGCUCGCGUAUCCUGUGCCCAUGUCUCGUCACAUUUCAUUAUUUCUAUUUUUGCCAUAAAAAAGUCUCUCUCUCUUGGUCCCUCUCCUCCUUCGUGACUAACAACUUUAUCAUAAGACGUCCCAAAUGACAGUUUCCCUGAUUUCAGUCAGUUAAGCAUAUUUAUAAUAUAUAUGGAAUGAAUAAAAACGAGUUGGCACGCAUAUAGCGGCUGCAGUGCAUAACAGAAGAGCAGUGCGUAGAAUAAGACAGCAGCUGUCUUCUACGUUUCUAUCAAAAACUAAUAAAUUAUAGUUUUAUAGAUUACAAAGGAAAUGUUUACUGUUCAUUUUUUUAUUUAUUUAUUGUAUGGAAAAAUCCCACUUAAAGAAACAGACCGCCAUUACAUUUUUCCUCUCGCGCACCCCCUGGUGGCAGCUCGCGUACCCCUGGGGGUCCGCGUACCACACUUUGGGAAUCCCUGCACUAGAGCAAAGGCGACAUCAUUGGUGUAUCAAGUAUGUACAAGAACUAAGUAAAUGAUAAUAAGUAAAGAAAUAUGGAAUCCGUUAAGUAAAUGUAAAUGUUUUAAUAUAAUAUACAAGUAAAAAUAAAUAAAAUAGCAGCGAUUUCUUUGCUUUUAAUGAUACACAGCUGCUAGGUUCCAUUAUUCCGAAGCAGGAGGGGGCAGUAAUGUACAUACGCUGGUUGCCAGCCGCCGUUAAUACUCAAGUAAGUUAGAGAAAAGGCAACUCGGAAAAGUGAGGAAAAAUAAGGGAUUAUUGGCUUGUUUUACACGUAUCAUUGUUUUGUGUUCCCCUCCUUCGUAAAAAAACUGACAAUUCCACGUCAACUCGAACACGCAAAACCCCGGUAUGAAGCAUUGUUAUGAGCAUGCCAAACCAACAGAUGGCGAUAUAUUCCUUAACCCAGAGAAGCCACUCCAGUCUCUUCUUGCCAUGAACAAGGAAAAAGUGCGGGAGCUGACUUAGCAGACGUACGUGGUUCAGGUAAGUUUUCGACAAAAAUCUUAUAUUAAAAGUCAUAAAAGUUAGUAUAAGGCACUCCGUCUACUACAGCACAGCAAAUAAAGUAACGUUUGUAGUACUAGCAGCGCUAUUCAGAUUUGAGGCAUUUUUGCUAAAAUGUUUGUGUAUUAUUUAAUAGAGAUUAUAAUUUCCAUUAUUUUUAUCAAUCUAAAUACCUUUCACUUGUUCAGUAUUGUGUUUUUGUUGCUAUAUAAACGAUGAACUUAAUAUAGGCAGAUGGCCAUUGCUUUUCUGAACAGUAGUUAGAAGUAUUCUGAGGUAAUUUAAAUUUUAGGAAAAAUAUGAGGAUGAUUAUCGAUGAUUAUAUAAUUGAGUUCAAUAACAUGGUAAUUUUGGCUGUUUCAUUUCAUUAUGAGUGUUUGUUUGAUGUUUAAAUGAUCAACAUAAUAUUAUGGUUAAUUGUUCUGUCCCGUUUGUUAGAAAAGCUUUUGCAAAUAUCUUGUCUGAGGUAAAUUGUCAUUUUAAACACAUUUAGUGAGUGUGAAUAAUAUGAUUUUUGUCUCUAUAUAUAUUUAUGAUGCUCUGGCAGUUUUAGUUACUGUAUAAAGUGUAUUAUUAUGAUCUAUCUGUAUGAUAGUUUGAGUGCUUACAAUGGCAGCAAAUUUAAAAACAAAACAAACAAGAGAUGUUUACAUUGACAUUAUUUAAGUUAGUUCAGAUUCUUUGACAACCAUUUUGUUAUGCACAGUGCAAUCUGAUUUACGUUAUUGUAUAUCAGAUGUAUGAAAUGUACAGUGAUUUAAUGAACAGGUGUUUCAUAUCAUAGUCAUUUGCCAUACUGUGGAUUUUUAACACAUCAAGGGCUGGAAAUGACUAAAUAAAUUUCUUGCCUUUUUCCUUAGCUAAUAUUUCCCUCAUAUAUGUUUCCUCUCUUCUUGUGUGUUAACAGGUCAUUGGCACUGUUGUAUCACAACAUCAUUUGCUGGCAUGUACAUCUAGGAUGCGAUCUUUCCAGAUGAGAUUCUCUCCAAUGCCAGCAAACCGACAGUGGAACACACGAGCCAGCACUUCUCCCACCACAUUGCCUCAGGCUUUUGAGAUACCCACUUAUAACUGCUUCUCCCCCCUAUGUUGGGAUCACCGGGGCCUCCAUCGCCGGCAUGUACACGCUACAUUAGGUGUAGAAAUUAUGUGAGCUGCAGUCUGGAUCCUGCUUCUGUCAGAUGACCUAACACAAAUGGAAAGAUGACAUCGACCCUUGCAAGGACUUCAGACGAUGCCAGCACUGGACUACAUACAGUGGUAAUCAUAUUUUCAGUAGUCCGUGUCAAAUAUUAUUUCAAGUGCCCAAACGGCAUUUGGAAUUUACCCAAACAUACGCAACAGCUAAACAGAGAUUCGCGGCAGCAGAAGAGAUGGCUAGUCAGGAGGAGCAAUCCGAUGAAAAGUUGGCAUUUUCAAGGUGGAGAUAUAAGCACUACUUCAAAUUCAUUGUGGUCAAAGCAAGAACGUGCAUGUAAUGUGUACAUUAUGUCCGGGAGCGAAGACUUUGUCGACAUCCAUUGUAAGCAACUCUAAUUUAAUGAAUCAUAUUGUUAAACUGCUUUUUUAAUGAAUAAAACGAAAUACAGCAGCCUAUGUCUUCCAGACUAUUUAUCUCAGUUUGAUUUAUUUAAUUUGCUACAGUUAUUGCAAACACACUUUAUAUUAUUUAACUGUUUACUUUUGAAGAAAAUACCUGAAGUACAGAAUGUCUACCAGACCAGUUGUCUGACAUUGGGAGUUUGAUUUAUUUUAAUUAAGAAUACGACUACAGAGCAAACACACUUUUUGUUGUUUAAAAGUUAACUUUUUGUGAACAAAACACUUGGAAGUACAGGUUGUUUACUUGACCAGUUGUCUCAGGUUGAGAGAGUUUUAUUUAAUUUAGUUUGCUGAAGUUAAAUGCACUUUAUAUG